rnacentral:rRNA from 1 species
GACGAACGCUGGCGGCGUGCUUAACACAUGCAAGUCGAACGGAAAGGCCCUGCUUUUGUUGGGUUCUCGAGUGGCGAACGGGUGAGUAACACGCGAGUAACCUGCCCUUGACUUUGGGAUAACUUCAGGAAACUGGGUCUAAUACCGGACAUGAGCUCCUGCUGCAUGGUGGGGUUUGGAAAGUUUCGGCGUUUGGGGAUGGACUCGCGGCUUAUCAGCUUGUUGGUGGGGUAGUGGCUUACCAAGGCUUUGACGGGUAGCCGGCCUGAGAGGGUGACCGGCCACAUUGGGACUGAGAUACGGCCCAGACUGCAACGGGAGGCAGCAGUGGGGAAUAUUGCACAAUGGGCGGAAGCAUGAUGCAGCAACGCCGCGUGCGGGAUGACGGCCGUCGGGUUGUAAACCGCUUUCGCCUGUGACGAAGCGUGAGUGACGGUAAUGGGUAAAGAAGCACCGGCUAACUACGUG